CAGUAUAAGUUUUGGACAAAAACGGUAUCUUAAUUACGGGUCUGCCACACAGAGUAUACGGUAAAGCAAGAGAGAGAGUUAGGGGCCUGUAUCCUUACGGCGGAGACACGGAGUCGCGCCGACGGUGACAUUACAACCCGGUGCGUACACUGCCGCAACUCGCUGGCCGGAGGACGAGGGUUCCAUCAGUGAUGUCGGCUCGGUGGUAUAAGCGACGGUGGUUCUAUUCACAUGGUCCAGGUGGUGUAUGUACGAGGUCGACCGGUGGCUGCGGCGGCGAAACUGGAACUAAGGUUCCGACCGUUACCGUAUCCCACAGCCGAUCUAGCUUCAAGAUGAUGUCCCCGGCGACAUGCAACGGCUGCGCAUAGACAUAACUUUACGUUACUUUGAUUGCUAUGCUAAAGCUUCCUGAUUAAGCCAUUGUCAUCACCAAAGAUGUUAUUGGACUUUAAAGCAUCUAACCUGAUGUUAUCAGCCAUGAGAUUUCAACAAUAUGAAUUCGUAAGAAACUUCACAUAAACCUUUAUAUGGGUUACUUUUAGUUAGAAUUUAACCUAAUAUGAUUACAUUGGGUUUUAAAUUUAGUUAGAACAAAAGAAAGAAGUUGACAACAUUCUUAAGAAUGAUUACUUGAAAGUUCACCGCGCAAACGGGUCUAUGUAAUAAUCAAGAAAUUAACAUUUGGUUUUAGAUAUUUUUUUUAUGCUGAACAGAGAUCUAAAUCGUGUUAUUUUAUGCUACUAGCUAACAUAUUGCAUUGGUAGCUAUUAGCAAAUCGUGUUAUAUGGUUAUUUACUUGAUCGUACAUAUGGUGCUUUGAAUUUGUCUAAAUUUUGGUCGAUGAGUGUUGUAAUUUGAUUUGGGAAUGUUUGGCAUAAACUAUUAAUGGUUUCAAUUUUAUGGAUAUUGAGGGAUGAGAUUUGGACGAAGAGGUUAUACUGUUACUUAAGGUUGCAUUAGUCUUUUGGGAACAUAUAUCCAAACACCCUUAUAAUAAGUGCCUAUAAUAGUUUGGUAGUAAAAUGAAGAAACUUAGAAUGUAUGCAUAUACUUUAGGCUUUGAUUGAUUAUUUUUUAUUUAUGGAAAUUAAUCGGGUGGUACGGGUCGGUUAGGGGAAUGAAAACUAAAUAUGCCAAUGGGGGUAACGGGUCAUACCAGGUUCAGCUCAAAGUAGAUUGGUUUAAUACAUGAUCAGCGGGCGUUUUAGGUCGCAGAAGAUGGAAGACGCGGGCAUAUCAGCCCUUAGACCAGAGGGAGCUGCACCAGCAGCUAAGGUACGCGUUGUAUGCAAGUGGAUUCCAGCCUUUAGGUAGAACGAACACACUAUGUGCUGGUCGACCGAGAGGUACGCCCAUAAACCUCACCUGUUUAUCAUAGACAACAUAAUCGUCAGAUGGUUUCACGUUACUCAAAUAAGCCCGGAAUGUGUUUUGCCCUUUUAUUUUUCAUUCUCUGCAUACUCCGUUUUAUAUAUAUAUAUAUAUAUAAAGUAAUUUCCUAAACUAUAUAUAUAGUAUGUACCAGGUGGAUCAAAAUCUCUCAUUUAUCAUAUACCAACAGCCAUUAAUCUUAGUAAUCUAUGCCUAUACUACAAACUUCUAGGUCCUUAUAAACUGCUGUUUCGCGAACAACAAAAUGAGUCAUUAUUUGUCACAGUUUUUUCUUGAAUUGGCGAACAAACAAAAUGUGAGUCAUUAUUCAUCAAAGUUUUCCUUAAACUGAGAUUGUUCCGUUUAGUCUACGUUGGUCCAGUAACCGGCUUAAACUUUUGGCGAGCGUAUUGAGAUUGUUCUAUUGUGCAGCUUUAUGGCUUCCAGGUAGUUCUAUUCGUUUUCUUUUUUAGUCGGCUAUGUUCACCUACCAAGUUAGUUACCUAUGAAACACAUUUUUAUGGCCAAAAAUGUGCUCUGUGAAUAAUUUUUAAAAGCUAUAGUCAUCAAAUAUAAAAUGCUCCAUACAAAAUCUCAUAUAUGAAAAAGUGUGUAGGUUACUUUACGCCAUACCAAACCACGUGUAAGCAACCAAUUAAGCAAUAAAAACCACCCAUAUAUAAAAACCUAACACAUGCCUUAUUGUAGGUACCGAAUUACAGUGACCAUCUCUGACAAAACUGGGGAGAAAGGGUGGAGCUAUGGCUGUGCUCCGGCGACAACCCAUGAAAGUCGGUGUGUGACGACCUGAAAUGGGGGAUCAGUUCUGGAACAGCAAUCGGUUGCGGUGCCAUCUUCGGGGUGGUAUUCAUCACGGAAGGGUUUUGUCUGCCCCGCCGCUGCGAAGCGCGGGUGGAAACCACUAGUAUAUGUAUUAAAACAUAACAUAACCGAGAAACAGUAGUUUAACGGUAACGGCGUCAACUUAUCAUCUUCUAAACCCUAAUACCUCAAUCACAGUUUCUUCUUGGCCUCUUCUUCACCACAUCGACACCUUCCCACCACCGCCCUCCAUCAUCGUCCUGAACCCCAACGCCAGGCUUACCGUCGCACACAUCCGCUUCCCCGUCGCUGGUUCCGACCACCACGCCCUCAGCCGUCCUAACCACACCGGAACCACUACGCACCACCGUUCGCCCUCACCUUCGCCGCAGGUCUCCGACAUCAGGUAAGCUUCCCUUUAUUAGAGCAUUAGUAUACAGCAUAGGGUUUCUUCUGUAACCGUUGCUUGUGUUUGCUUAAAUGAGUCUCCAAAGUUACGACCAUCGAGUAAAGAGUUGCUUGAUUGGUUGCAUCAUGGUAACAUUUACACUUAGGUUAGUUUGCAUCCAAUUGUCGGUUAGUUUCAUGGUAACAUUAGAAUGUGGGUAUUGUCGGUUGAUUUUUGGGGGUUUUUUUAUUAAAGAAAGUGAAAGGGAUUGUUAAAGAACAGAUUUCCUCAUUGUCACAUUUAGUGUCAGGCGCCCCCGUUGAAUUUAUAUUCUUGAUUCUCCGAUGUUUUUCAGUUCGAACCCUUCUAUUCGCCGAUGUGUAUACCAUAGGUCUAAUGUGUAGAUCGACACAAAAUGCUUUAAUUGAGCAUCUUUGAAUUGGGUUAAACCAGGGCCGCAACAGUACACCGCCUGCUUAUCUCCAUCAACCCUCAUCUCCAUGAGUUUGAGAACCUUUGUUCAAAUUAAAGAGAGAGAUAGAAAAUGGGGGAAAUAGAAAUUGAAAGAUUCAGAGAGAUGAGGGAUUUUCUAAUUUGGCCACAAAAAUAAGACUUACCACCACGUUGAAUUGGUUCGUCGGCGACAGGGAGGUAUUGGAAAUAACAUUGGCGGUAGACACCUCAACGGAAGUGGAGACGGCCCGCUGUGGCGGCUGAUGCUAAGUAAGACCCGCUGGUGUUUGUCUGAAAGCAUCGCAUGUAGGCUAUGAGUGGAGAUUCCGCCGUCGCGUAUGACGACGGUAACGACAUACCUGGACGGAAGGUAGGGUUUGACGAAAGUAAAACGGCUAAGGUUCAUCUAAAACUACCAGCGGCUAAUGAAUUUGAUAAAUCUGAGGAUCAAAUACAAAGAGUUUUCUAACGGGUUGCUUAUAAGUUAGUUUAUGAAUCUGUUUCAAGCACAUCUUUGCCAUUACUACUAGGAUUGUCAAUUGUGGAUUUUUCCCUUGCGUCUGAGUUAGUUUCAUAGAAUGUAUUUUAUACCUUAUUAUGAAUUCUUUAUGAUUAGCUUAAAGAAAAUGACCUACUUUAGUUGUUGUUCACAGUUUUUUUACCUUUGGUUCCGGCCAUUAUUACUUUCGGAUCAAGUUCUUCAAAUCGAUAAAUGAAAUGUAAUAUUGUAAAUGGUCCUUUUGUAGGAUAACUACUGUUCACUCUGUAUGUUUUGCUGUUGAAUGUAGUAGGAUAACUAGAUCUGCUGAUGUAGUCUGCCUAAAUUAGUAUGAAUGUGCCUAUUUUGUAAUGUGUCUUACCAUUACAGACACUGAUCCAGCCACCAAAUUGAAUUUCAUGUUCAAUCCAAUCACUUAUUUUGAUUUCUUCCGUCACAAAAACUAGAAUAGAUGGCUAUCGAAAGGAGAGGGAAGGUUCGAUGUCGUGGACGAAACCUCAGAGGCUGCCAAAGUUAAAAACAAUUAUGAUUAUUUUUCAUUCAAUAGUUAUGAACAUGAAAUGUGUCUGACUAUUCUCCUGUCAAAUUGGAUCUGGUGUUGCAUGUUUGUAGAAGAUGGAAUACGAAAAAGAGAUCCCCGAAUCGAAAUAUGAAUGUCUUCUUUUUGGUAAGACUUUAAUUUCUUUAAUCAUCAUCAUGUCUUAUUUAUGUCGCAGUUUGCAUUUAACCUUCUGGUAAUUUGUUCUACGCGGCGUUAAUUAUUUGUGGGUUUUGUUAAUUCGGUUCCACGUUUGUUCGAUUAGUGUGUGGAUCGAGUUCUUCAGAAUUACAAUGGAUGUAAGUACUUCAAAUCUUCAGUGUAUGCACAGUUACUUUAAUUUAAUAUAAAAAUGUGCAAUCAAGAAGUGAGAUUUGUACGGCAUAAGUUUGUGAUAUCCGAUUUAGAUCAAGUUUAGUUAAAUGGAUGUUUUUGUUUGUGAUUAUAGUGAAACUUGGUUGAGAUUUGCAUGUGCUCUUCUCAUAACCUACUUUUGUCAUAACCACUUAAAAAAUGGAUGUAACAUAUUUUGGGAAAUAAGUCAUCAAAACUGAACGUUACAAAUUUUAACUUUUAACAUUGUGUAUCUUUAUGGAUACCGUUUACAAAUUUCAUCUUUAUUGAUACCGUUAGAAUAUUUAAUGUUUGUUGUCGUUUUAUUUGUGCACGGAGGAUAACGAUCGAUGUAGAUGUAGAAGAAAUGCAGAAGAGGAAAAAGGAAAGCAGCCUAAACUUAAAGAAACACCAAUCGUAACUUUAUGGUUUUUUUUAAAUAUAAAGUUUCAGACACGUUAAAA